GAUGAACGCUGACAGAAUGCUUAACACAUGCAAGUCAACUGUGGCGGACGGGUGAGUAACGCGUAAAGAACUUGCCUCACAGUUAGGGACACCAUUUGGAAACGAAUGCUAAUACCUGAUACUGUGAGAGAGCUUUGCGUCCCAUUAGCUAGUUGGAGAGGUAACGGCUCACCAAGGCGAUGAUGGGUAGCCGGCCUGAGAGGGUGAUCGGCCACAAGGGGACUGAGACACAGCCCUUACUGCAACGGGAGGAAGAAGUGGGGAAUAUUGAAAAAUGGACCAAAUUGUGAGCAAGCAAUUCUGUGUGCACGAGGAGGUUUUCGGAAGGAAAAGUGCUUUCAGUAGGGAAGCGGUACCAACAGAAGAAGUGACGGAUAAAUACGUGCCAGCAGCCGCGGUAAUAA
rnacentral:rRNA from 1 species